rnacentral:tRNA from 1 species
GUAACGCAGAGGUCAGCAUGUCAGCCUAUGGCGCUGAAGGCCUGGGUUCGAAUCCUGGC